rnacentral:rRNA from 1 species
UGGGGAAUCUUGGACAAUGGGGGCAACCCUGAUCCAGCGACGCCGCGUGGGUGAUGAAGGCCUUCGGGUUGUAAAGCCCUUUUCCCAGGGAAGAUGAUGACGGUACCUGGGGAAUAAGCACCGGCUAACUCCGUGCCAGCAGCCGCGGUAAGACGGAGGGUGCUAGCGUUGUUCGGAAUUACUGGGCGUAAAGGGCGCGUAGGCGGCUUGGAUAGUCGGGUGUGAAAGCCCGGGGCUCAACCCCGGAACGGCACUCGAUACUUUCAAGCUCGAGAUCGGAAGAGGAGAGUGGAAUACCCAGUGUAGAGGUGAAAUUCGUAGAUAUUGGGUGGAACACCGGUGGCGAAAGCGGCUCUCUGGUCCGUAUCUGACGCUGAGGCGCGAAAGCGUGGGGAGCAAACAGG